CCUUAAUAGCGGCUGCACCAUUAGGAUGUCCUGAUCCAACAUCGAGGUCGUAAACCCCCUCGUCGAUAGGGACUCUGGGAGAGGAUUGCGCUGUUAUCCCUAGGGUAACUCGGUCCGUUGAUCGGCGUUCGCCGGAUCAUUUUUGGUCAGAAAUUCUGGUGCUUAGAGUUGUGGCUCUUGGUUGUGGGGGCAGUGCCCCCAGUCCACAUGGGGGCUUUGUUUUCCCCCGCGGUCGCCCCAACCAAAGACAUAGGGGCUAGGGGUCACUGUGUUUUUACUUGUUAAUUCAAGGUUACUUGACGUGAUCUGCCUGGUGUCUAAAGCUCCAUAGGGUCUUCUCGUCUUAUGUAUUUAUGUCCGCUUCUGCACGGGCAGAUCAAUUUCAUUGACUUGGAAGAGGAGACNGCUAAGCCCUCGUGAUGCCAUUCAUACAGGUCUUCAUUUAAAAGAC
rnacentral:rRNA from 1 species